rnacentral:rRNA from 1 species
AUGUAUGUUCAUAUGAAAGAAAAAUGUAUGUAUGUAUGUUCAUAUGCAUAUGCAAAGAAAAUGUAUGUUCAUAUGCAUAUGCAAAGAAAAUAUAUGUUCAUAUAUAUGAUAAUAUGUUCAUGUAUGAGUAUAUGUAUGUAUAUAUGUUCUCUGUGUAUAUAUAUGUUCAUGUAUGCAAAAGAUAGAUUUUUAGAAAAGUUAGGAUUUUUUCUGUUCAUAGAUUUUUUUGGUGAUAUUAAUUAUUGUAGAAUAUGCAAAUGUUUGUAUAUUCAUAUGAACAAUGCAUUAGGCAAAACCUUUACUGUUUUUCGAAAUUUUCUAUUUGAACAUUUUUUUAUGAAUGAGAGGAAAAAGGAAAAUAAGAAGAGGAAGAAAGGACAAGAAGAGGAGAGGAAGAAGAGGAGAAAUAAAUAA